AAGUCGUAACAAGGUUUCCGUAGGUGAACCUGCGGAAGGAUCAUUACCGAGUUAGGGUCUUCCAGGCCCGAUCUCCAACCCUUGUGUUUAAACUAUACCACGUUGCUUCGGCGAGCCUGUCUUCUCUCCUCCCUCGGGGGGUCCAGAGGACUGCCGGACCCUCGUCUGUAGGCGUCUGGCUCGUUGCUCGUCGACAGCCCAACUUCAAACUCUUGAACCAAAUAUGUCGUCUGAGUACCUAGAUUUUAAAAUUAAAAUUAAAACUUUCAACAACGGAUCUCUUGGUUCUGGCAUCGAUGAAGAACGCAGCGAAAUGCGAUAAGUAAUGCGAAUUGCAGAAUUUCAGUGAGUCAUCGAAUCUUUGAACGCACAUUGCGCCCCCUGGUAUUCCGGGGGGCAUGCCUGUUCGAGCGUCAUUAUCACCCCUCAAGCCUGGCUUGGUGUUGGACGUCGGUCGCGGCUUCGUGACCGGUCCCAAAGACAAUGACGGCGUCUAUAGGACCCUCGGUGCAACGAGCUCUCACCAGCACGCACUCGAGUCGCAAGGACCUAUAGCCCGGUCUCCUCGGGUGGGUGUGGUUUCGACCACCCCCCCAUUAUCUCAAGGUUGACCUCGGAUCAGGUAGGAAUACCCGCUGAACUUAA
rnacentral:rRNA from 1 species